CUCAAAGGAAUUGACGGGGACCCGCACAAGCGGUGGAUGAUGUGGUUUAACUCGAUGCAACGCGAAAAACCUUACCUACCCUUGACAUGGCAGGAACUCCACAGAGAUGUGGGGGUGCCCGAAAGGGAACCUGCGCACAGGUGCUGCAUGGCUGUCGUCAGCUCGUGUCGUGAGAUGUUGGGUUAAGUCCCGCAACGAGCGCAACCCUUGUCACUAGUUGCUACGAAAGGGCACUCUAGUGAGACCGCCGGUGACAAACCGGAGGAAGGUGGGGAUGACGUCAAGUCCUCAUGGCCCUUAUGGGUAGGGCUUCACACGUCAUACAAUGGUCGGUACAGAGGGUUGCCAACCCGCGAGGGGGAGCCAAUCCCAGAAAACCGGUCGUAGUCCGGAUUGCAGUCUGCAACUCGACUGCAUGAAGUCGGAAUCGCUAGUAAUCGCGGAUCAGCAUGUCGCGGUGAAUACGUUCCCGGGUCUUGUACACACCGCCCGUCACACCAUGGGAGUGGGUUUCACCAGAAGCCGUUUGCCUAACCGCAAGGAGGGCGGCGACCACGGUGAGAUUCAUGACUGGGGUGAAGUCGUAACAAGGUAGCCGUA
rnacentral:rRNA from 1 species